AUUGAACGCUAGCGGGAGGCUUAACACAUGCAAGUCGAACGAGCGGCGGACGGGUGAGUAAUGUCUCGGAAACUGCCUAGUGGCGGGGGAUAACUACUGGAAACAGUAGCUAAUACCGCAUACUAUCGGAUGUGCCCCUAUUGGAUUAGCUAGUAGGUGGGGUAAUGGCUCACCUAGGCGACGAUCCCUAGCUGGUCUGAGAGGAUGACCAGCCACACUGGGACUGAGACACGGCCCAGACUCCUACGGGAGGCAGCAGUGGGGAAUAUUGCACAAUGGGCGAAACCCUGAUCCAGCCAUGCCGCGUGUGUGAUGAAGGCCUUCGGGUUGUAAAGUACUUUUGGCGGAGAAGCGGUAUUUGCAGAAUAAGCACCGGCUAACUCCGUGCCAGCAGCCGCGGUAAUAC
rnacentral:rRNA from 1 species